rnacentral:rRNA from 1 species
UUGACCUCGGAUCAGGUAGGAAUACCCGCUGAACUUAAGCAUAUCAAUAAGCGGAGGAAAAGAAACCAACAGGGAUUGCCCUAGUAACGGCGAGUGAAGCGGCAACAGCUCAAAUUUGAAAUCUGGCCUCGGCCCGAGUUGUAAUUUGCAGAGGAUGCUUCUGGCGCGGUGCCUUCCGAGUUCCCUGGAACGGGACGCCACAGAGGGUGAGAGCCCCGUAUGGUCGGACACCAAGCCUGUGUGAAGCUCCUUCGACGAGUCGAGUAGUUUGGGAAUGCUGCUCUAAAUGGGAGGUAAAUCUCUUCUAAAGCUAAAUACCGGCCAGAGACCGAUAGCGCACAAGUAGAGUGAUCGAAAGAUGAAAAGCACCUUGAAAAGGGGGUUAAAUAGUACGUGAAAUUGUUGAAAGGGAAGCACUUGUGACCAGACUUGGGCCGGGCGGCUCAUCAGGGGUUCUCCCCUGUGCACUCCGCCCGGCACAGGCCAGCAUCGGUUUUCGCGGGGGGACAAGACCGCCGGGAACGUAGCACCCUCCGGGGUGUGUUAUAGCCCGGCGGACGAUACCCCCGCGGGGACCGAGUCCGC